rnacentral:lncRNA from 1 species
AACUUUUGAAUUUUGAAUUUCAGAUUUGAAUUUUAGUUUUCAGCUUUUGAAUUUCAAAUUUCAAAUUUCAAAUUUAAAUUUUGAAUCUCAAAUUUUUUUUGGUUUCAAUUUAAGUUCCCAUUUUUAAUUUCGAAUUUUGAAUUUCAAAUUUGGAUUUCAGAUCUAAUAUUUCAAAAUUUUAAGUUUUGAAAUUCGAAUGCAAAAGUCAUAUUGGAAAUUUCAGAUUUGGAAAUUUUAAAUUUGGAAAUUUCAGAUUUGGAGCCCAAACCUAGAAUUUCAAAUUUAACUUUGAAAUUGUUAACUUCAAAUCCUAAAUUUGUGGAGAUCAGAUCUCAACUUUAAUAACUGAAAUUCAGAAUUAAAAUUCAAAAUAUUCAGAUUUAAUUCAUAAACUUAAUAAGGCAUGCAAACUAGGAUUUUGGCAUCAAUGGAUUUCGAGAAAAUGCAGAAAUUUCAGCAAGUGCAGAAUUUCAGCAUAAUCAAUGUGUGUGUCCUAAUUAACCUUGCUCUGAUACCAAAAAUGAUGCGGGAUGAAUGUGAGGGAUUUAAACAUAAGGAUUGUCAGUAAGUUAUGUUGAUUAACUAGCCUAAUAGCAGCAGAGAAUUCAGUCACAUAUGGGAUAAGAAAACAUUAACAUGAGCAUAGUAAUUUCAAGACUAGUUACCCGCAUGUACUAAUUCAUUUAGGACUUAGAAGAAUGGACCGUUGUGGUUGAGAAACCACUUGAUUAGGACACUUCCUUCAAUAAAUCAGAUCUAGAGUUGAGGUUUACCAAACAUUAAACUUCUGAAAUUUUUCUGGAGGAGGAUCCUUGAUCUCACUCUCGAAGGUUGAUGAUUGGAUGACCAAGCUUCAUCUUCCGUUGCAACAGGGCCCUUUUGGUAUUGGUGUGGAAGGAUAAUUGACCCAAUGACAUAGAGUACUUGAUGACCCAAAGAUUGAUUCAUAGAUUGAUUUUGACGAUCACAAAACCUUGAAGUAUAGAUACUAAUGUUUAUGUUGCAAGGAGAAAGAUAUUUAUUUUGCAAGGAACAUAG